rnacentral:rRNA from 2 species
UACGGAGGGAGCUAGCGUUGUUCGGAAUUACUGGGCGUAAAGCGCGCGUAGGCGGUUUUUUAAGUCAGAGGUGAAAGCCCAGUGCUCAACACUGGAACUGCCUUUGAAACUGGAAAACUUGAAUCUUGGAGAGGUCAGUGGAAUUCCGAGUGUAGAGGUGAAAUUCGUAGAUAUUCGGAAGAACACCAGUGGCGAAGGCGACUGACUGGACAAGUAUUGACGCUGAGGUGCGAAAGCGUGGGGAGCAAAC